GUUUACAGUUUGUCUAUAAGCCUUCAUUAGAUUCACAUUAAAGUGUGUGGGCCUGCUUGAAGCUUACAUCUCUUGAAAAGAGUGCACCAUUUCAUCUAGUUCUAAUGCUGUUUGUUCUUGUUUAGGGUCUUUUAACAUGCCCACACAUGCAGGAACUGUACACAUGUAGCACAUUCAUUAAAAUUUUGCUUGCUAGGGAUUCACCUCUAUUGAGUUUUCUGUUAAUUACAGUCAGUUAUCCAGCUUGUCUCAUUCAUAGCCAUUGACAUUUCCGGGAAAAGACUUUUAAUUAUGUGAACCUUGUGCAAGGAGGGAGGCACCUAGAUUACCUUCUGCUGCAGCUUGUGACAGCUUCCAUAGAGUUGUCCCAGAACAGCAGACCCUCUGCUUUCUUAGGACAAUCCAGGUAGUUAAUCUACUAUUUGUGGGAAAAUUUAUUGGCAUUUCAGGGUAAGGAUGUCAUGUUUGCUCAAAAUUCAAGGUAUGUGUGUGCUGUGAAGUUCAAGAAAAAGCUAACAGAAAAUGUACUCCUCCCCAAUUCUCAGCUGUUCAGAGGUCUAAUCUUGAUUACUUGUUUAUUUCAGAAUUUUUGGAAGUACAAAGGGGAUGGUGGGCUUUGCUAUAACUAAACAGAAUAGAUCAAGGUUGAGUGGCAAUAAGCAAUAGUAGCAGACACACCACACCCCAUUCCUUUUGGCAAGUCAAUCAAGUCUUGUUUUGAUGAACGAUUCCUGUUGGACAACGUUUAUUAUUCAAGUCCGUAGACUAAAUGAAAGGUAUUUGAUCUGCAGACUUUAAUCAAGAACACAGCUUUGAGCAGGGCAUUUUAAACAGCUUGAAGCAAACUUCACCUAUGUGAGACCAAGGGAGGAGAAUUAAUUCUUAUAUUGAUCCAUCAGAAAUACAUACAAAGUCCCAAUGAUCCAGCAAAGAGAUUAAGCUUCUCUUAUACAAUAAAAUCUGCAGUAACUAGGCAGGAUUAGAAACUGACUGGAUAAAUGGAUCCUACAACUUUACAGGAUUCUGCAGAAUUACAGGUUAUAUGCAUAUUCCUUUGAAGCAACAGAAGCUUGAAACAUUAGAAAAGCCACUGUUUCAGACCAAUGCACUACAUACAAUAGCAUGUACAGGUAAGUCAAGUGCUGUUUAUUGCAAUAGCGUUCUCAAGCUUUUCCAGUCUUGAUCAUCUCUUACAUAUAGCUUCAUGAACAUCCCUAUGGCAGCUGGAGCCACUGCUUGUGGAUAAGUGGUUUACACUGAUGUAUCAGCUGGAAGCAAGUUCCAGCAGCUCUCCAGGUCACUGAUAAGCCAUAGCUCCAAACUGGUCAAAGUAGACACUGACAGUUUCUUCCUGACAUUGCCAGAAAAUAGCUCUAGUUAAAAUACUAAUAAGACAAAUUUGAAAGAGCAAAUCUGGAUGUUAAAGUGGAGACAAUCUAGAAUAUAAUGAUUUACUACCAGAGGCAUUAGCUCAGACUCAUUUAAACCAGGCAGCAGACUUCAAAAUUCUAUGGAAGCCUCAGGCUGACACCAUCCUUAACUCAUGUACACCAACCUGCCAGCCUACUCAGCAGAACUGAGAAAUAUUAUGGCACAGACUGCUGAUUCAUACUGAGAACUUUAUGAUCUAUUGUCUGCACUUUAAGUGACCAGUAAAUGAAUCCUAUGAACCCAGUUCUGGGAGCCAUAAUGCAGACAGAUUAUACCCUUUUGAAAACAUGUUUUUCUUUGAGGACCCAAUGAGAUUUUAUCCCGAAGAUGUGUGCGUCUGAUCAACGUAAAACCAGGGUCUACUCAGUGUAAGCAAAAACUGAAGAUUUACUAAGCACUCAAAGCAACAUUGUUCAUCAUAAAGCAGCUUGUCUUAAUUCAGAAGAGUGAACAGAAUUGUUCUGGGAUGGGGAUGGACUAGAUUUGAAUAUGAUCCUUUUAAAGAGUAUCCUUUGAGAAGACACUUACCCUGUACCACCACCCCAAACUGAGAUGGUGAACUUUAAAUGCAGAAAGCUUUCCCCUUCAGAUGUGUCUAAAACUCCCUCCUCCGUGAACCAUUCAGAAACCCAAAGAGAUGAUACAAUAAAUAUUAGAAUAAGAGUGGAAAUAUGAGUGACAUGGAACAUUCACCUACGUGACUGAUGUAACAUUUCACAUGAUAGGAAUAUCAAGAGAUUGUGAGAUAGCUCAGUGACAGUGCUGUGCAGUUCUGACCAUACUCUAUUUGCCUGGGAGUAUCCGCAGCAGAUUAAGGGGGCGGGGAUGAAGAGGAGAAAUGGAGUGAUUUGCCAGGGUUCACAAGGGACUUUUCAUUCAGGAGGUGCCUUCCUAGCAUUUCUGCUCUUGGUUUGGAAGAGAGAGUAUAAGAAUCUCUACAACUCAUGUCAGUUACAUUAGGUUUAAGUCUAAGUGGUUUGCUUGUGGCUGGUCAGAAUAAGCUGAAGACAACAAUUUAUUAAACCAAAACGCUUUCCAGUAAUGUUGUGUCAGGAAAACCAACUCCAGUUCACUUGCUGCUUAAGUGGCCGUUUACUUCACUGACAUGGCCAUCUACAAGCAGCGAACCAAGAAGAGAGAAAUAGGUUGACUGACUAUCCAGUGCAAUUGGAAGCAACUAUUCUAGUAGUCCUGGAGUUUCAAUUAUAAGCAGAGCUACAACAUGAAUAUUUUGUACCAGUCAAAUUUGCUGCUAGCAAUGGUGUUGGCAAAAUAGAGUGAAAGUUCAUUCGUAAAGUAUUGAAACUCAUGCUCUUGCCUCAAUAAUUCCUAAUCCUGGUCUCAGAGCCCAGCACUGCAAUGCUAAUUAAGCCACAUUAGUAAUAGCUCACAGGAAAACAUUAAGGAAAGCUGCAUAGUUGAGUCAGAGUAUUAGAUACUCUUUCCACACCAACACUUGCUGUUUGGCUACCAGAUGUCAAGCCCAGACCAUAGCUGCUACUUAAGAAGGAGGAAAGGAUUUUCUCCUAAAACCUUUAAGGGGAAGUUAUUUCAGGAAAUGUAACUGUUAACAGCUUUGCUGAUCUUCAUCCUGAAGCUAAAGCUUACAGGUGUGGAAAGUAGCACUGAGGGAAGUACUGGGGUCAAAAGAAAUGAAUAGUUGUUCUAAUCAGGAAAUGGGCUAUUUCUAGUGUAAAUUUAAGAAGGUGGGAAAGGCAUCACACUUCACCUAGACCCUGGAGAAAAAGACUAUUUGUGAUUGAAGGUAUGAAUGCUUUCCCAUAUUUACAUGGAUUCUUUUGCUAAUAAACUCCUGCUCAGCAAAUAAAGAGAAGUUAAGAAUCACUUUACGACUAUACUUGUCCUUGUGUCUCCCUGCCAAUUUGUUGUUUUUCGGCAAUCAUUUCUAUUUUUAAAGAAAUCUGUUGGUGUGAAAGGACCACAUGGAAAUGGAAACUAUCUAUCUAUACUGGUAGAACUGUAAAAUUACCAAGUGCCAUCCAAUACACAAAAUUCAAAAUACAGAAAAAAACUUACUGGGUUAUAGAGAACACUUAUUACAAGUAUUGUUUAAUUUGAUGGUAACCAUUUUUGUCCUACAAGGAAAGGCAAAUUAUUUCUGACUUGAGUACCAUUAGAUUUGCCCAAUCCUGAAAAAGUUUUAGCUAGAUCUACUUGGUCACUGAGAAACUAAGACAGAUUCAAGCUGCCAGUGCCCCUAAUGACAGACCACAAGGCUUUCAGUGACCUCGAGAUGGAGAAAAGGCACUGUAAAUCAGCUUCACAGGAGGAAGCAUACCCUUAGUGCAUGAACAGCAAGGCUAUUCAGAUGAUAGUCCAAUAAAGUUGAGUGCUAGACCAAGAGAAAAACUAAUAGCUUAAUAAAUUUGGAAUCAGAUUAAAAAUGUCAUGAAUACACAUGAAACAAGAGCAAGCCUAGGGUUUCCAAGAGGCUUGUCAGAAGAUUACAUGAAUAUUAAUAGCACUUUCAAUUUAUAAUCAAAUACCAAUUCCACUUAACAGUCACUCUCCUCAAGGGCCACAAUUAAGAGCCUUAAUGGGCACAGGGUAGACACCAUUGCCCUAAGGAAUAACACACAAAUCCCUAUUGUUAUUGAAUAUCCAUUUGGCUCAGUGAAGAAAGGUCAGCUUUGACAAAAAUAUGAACCUUAUGAGUGCUCUGAAAGUCCCUUCUGGAAGCAGGUAACUGACUCAUGUUCAAGUGUGUCUCUUUAACAUGUUCAGUUUCAAGUGUGCAAAUCCUGUCUGACCAGAGGAGUGUUAGGAACUGCUUAUUCAUUCUGGAUCAGAGUUGCAAGUGCCACAUUUUGCAGGUAGUCAUUGACUAUUAAACAGAUGGAUUUUGCUUCUUGUGAUUGCCGCCAGCUUGGGACACACUGCCAAUUAUCUUCACUCUGAGACAAAAUCUAUCCAUUUAUUGGGCACUUGGCUCAACAGCUAAAAGACUAUUUUUGCCUGUAUAAUGGCAUAUACUGGAUAAAUAGCUAUAAAGAUCAGCAAGACUUAGUCAUAUUUCAUCUCACUUUAUUUUGAAUUUACUCUAAACAAAACUAAACCCACAACUUAAUAUUUACAUGGUGUCUGAACUCAGUAUCUUUGAAGUGUCAGCAAAACGUUCAGAAACUAAAGUCACUUACAAAGCUUCAUCUAAAUGGAUUUUAAAAUCCUAGUACUAAUGAUCCAUUGUGGCAUCCCCGAUACACCUUUACCACAAUAUAAUGCGACCCGAUAUAACAAAUUCGGAUGUAAUGUGGUAAAGCAGUGCUCACGCUGCGCACUCUGGUAGACCAAAACAAGUCUGAUAUAACACAGUAAG